rnacentral:rRNA from 1 species
UGGGGAAUUUUGGACAAUGGGCGAAAGCCUGAUCCAGCAAUGCCGCGUGUGUGAAGAAGGCCUUCGGGUUGUAAAGCACUUUUGUCCGGAAAGAAAUCCUUGGCUCUAAUACAGUCGGGGGAUGACGGUACCGGAAGAAUAAGCACCGGCUAACUACGUGCCAGCAGCCGCGGUAAUACGUAGGGUGCAAGCGUUAAUCGGAAUUACUGGGCGUAAAGCGUGCGCAGGCGGUUUGCUAAGACCGAUGUGAAAUCCCCGGGCUCAACCUGGGAACUGCAUUGGUGACUGGCAGGCUAGAGUAUGGCAGAGGGGGGUAGAAUUCCACGUGCAGCAGUGAAAUGCGUAGAGAUGUGGAGGAAUACCGAUGGCGAAGGCAGCCCCCUGGGCCAAUACUGACGCUCAUGCACGAAAGCGUGGGGAGCAAACAGGAUUAGAUACCCUGGUAGUCCACGCCCUAAACGAUGUCAACUAGUUGUUGGGGAUUCAUUUCCUUAGUAACGUAGCUAACGCGUGAAGUUGACCGCCUGGGGAGUACGGUCGCAAGAUUAAAACUCAAUGAAUUGACGGGGUCAUAGCUG